GACGAACGCUGGCGGCGUGCCUAAUACAUGCAAGUGGGACGCAAGGACACACACUGUGCUUGCACACCGUGUUUUCUUGAGUCGCGAACGGGUGAGUAACGCGUAGGUAACCUGCCUAUUAGCGGGGGAUAACUAUUGGAAACGCUAGCUAAUACCGCCUAAUAUUAAUUAUUGCAUGAUAAUUGAUUGCAAGAUGCAAGCGCCUCACUAGUAGUUGGACCUGCGUUGUAUUAGCUAGUUGGUAAGGUAAGAGCUUACCAAGGCGACGAUACAUAGCCGACCGGAGAGGGUGAUCGGCCAGACUGGGACGGAGACACGGCCCAGACUGCUACGGGAGGCAGCAGUAGGGAAACUGCGGGAAUGGACGAAAGUCUGACCGAGCAACGCGGCGGGAGGGAAGAAGAAUGUCGGAUCGGAAAGCUCUGUGGUAAGGCAAGAACGUGUGUGAGAGUGGAAAGAACACACAGUGACGGUAGCGUACCAGAAAGGGACGGCUAACUACGUG
rnacentral:rRNA from 1 species